GCAUCCUCUUGAACCACUUUUACAUCAAAUUUUAAUGUGUACAGAUUAAAUGUACACAUUAAAUGUUUAUACUGGAUAACAACGCAGCAUUAUUUCACCCACAUUUUGACAAGUAUAAGAGUGUGUGUGUGUACACAACAUUAUCAGACUAAUAUCAUAAAAAUAAUUGAAAUGAAAAUACCCUUCACAAAUAACAUUUAGGCUGUGUUUCUGAUUAAAUAAAUCAGUAGUUUAAGCCAUAAAAUAAUGAGCAUGUUUUGAUUUAAAUGUCAGAAGCAUUUGCUUACAUGAAAAGAAAAAAAACACAAACACAUAGUAUUGUAAUGGUGGCUCCGAGGCAGAAUUAGAAUCCAUUUACAGAAAUUUAAUAGGAAAAAUCCAAAAGGCAACUUUACAAAAAGUCAGUGGGUCAGAACCAGUAAUACAAUCCAAACCAAGCAAACAGGGCAAAGAGAUAAUCCAAGGAAUCCAAAGAAAUAGAGAACAAAGCAGAAUAAAAGCAGUUAUAAAGCCCUCAAAAAGGAAAUGGUUGCAGAGGAAGUCUGAUUGAGCACAUCUAGUACUCGGGCGAGAGCUUCCUCUGCUGGUUAGGCGUUACAAUUAUUUUAUAUAUACUGUUUAUUCAUUAAUGUAUAACAUGUUUACAUUUUUGUAAACAAAUCUUAAACCCUGAAAUAUUUGAGUUUUUACGUUAAAUUUUAGUGUUAACACUGCAUCUUUCUGGUGAAAAAUGUAAAGACUGAUGUAUAGUUUAUGUAUAGUUAUUUUUAAAGCUUUUAAGUACUGUUCAAAAAACGUAACUGUUUAUUUUUAACAAACAGGUUCUUGUUAAAAACUAACCAAAUAAAAAAAAAAGACUUGGUGUUAUUUCCAAAUAAACAGAAAUAAUAAACAGCAUUGUUAUCGACUAAAAUGAGUUAAAAAUAUGGGCAUAUCUCAUAUAAAAUCUCAUAUCGUGCACCCCUUAUAAAUAGAAAUGGAUACACACACACUAUAUAUAUAUUAUACAUAUAGAGGUCAAUUGAUGUAUUGGUUUUCCCAGAAAUAUCAGUUAUCAGCAAAAAUGCGUCCACUGCAGGAAUGGCCUCUAUCACUGCAAAAUCACUGCAUUUGUUUUAAAAAGGUGACGCUGCAAACUGUAAUGGCUUCUCUCUCCCAACAAAACAUUGUCUUUGUGUUUUUUGUAUCGUUACUUGCAGUGUUUUUGUUUGUGUCAUGUCUACCUACUCCAAAACGUGCAUAUGGUCCCAUGUUUUUACUGGAUGUUGACAGAACCACAGUUUUACAGUUAAACUCUAGCUGAAGCAUUAGCUAAAGAGCUGCAAGACAACGGUCCGCUCCGGAGGCCUACUUCAUCAUCGGGUCUCUACUGCACCUCUCCAACAGUAGAGGCACCACAAGAGGUGCGAAAGAAAGCAAAAGAGGGAUAAGCACGGAGGUAUCCAGGCUAUGCUAGUGGCUGACCCACACAACCCAGCUAUCCCCACCAUCGUAUUGCAUACCAAACUGCACCAUUCAGCUCUACUCACUAAUAUGCUAUCGAGCGGACAGAGUUCACGUCGAGGGAGAGGCACCAUCGAGAGCAUCCUGACCAGCUGAAUCACUGUGUGGUACGGCGCUUCCGAUGAGUUCUGCCAAAAGACCCUCCAACACAUUGUGAGAGCAGCUGAGAAGAUCAUUGGCCUCUCUCUCCCAUCCCUCCAGGACAUUUAUAACCCCCGUCUCACCCGCAAAGCCCUCUGCAUUGCAGGUGAUCCUACCCACCCAACACACAGCUUCUUCAGUCUGCUGCCAUCAGAGAGGAGACUGCGGAGUCUCCAGGCUAGGACCAGUAGACAGUAGACAAUACAAGGAACCAAUCAGAAUAUGACACAUUUACUAGGGUAACACAAGAGAUGGUGACAUGAGGGGCAAAGGACACAUACAAAAAAAAGAGUCCAGAUACCAAUGGCAAGAGUCCUGGGUGGAGUGCUCUCUAAUUGAGUUCAUGGGCACUCCAGCUGGCGAAAUGAAAUUUUUGGUUUGUU